rnacentral:snoRNA from 1 species
AGCACACUCCUUAGAUCCGUUUCAUUCUCAAUGUGAAACGCUUGAGUCAUAAGUGUGCAAUAGAACAGUACCUCCAAUUCAAGACUGACAUGUGCUAUUCUUCUGUGGAUGACAAUUGUCUUGAGAUGGGGAACAU